CUCCUACCGAUUUCGAGUGGUCCGGUGUAACCUUUUGGACUGCGCGGGGCUUCGUGCCUCGUAGCGGUAAAAUCAAGUAAACCAUAUCACUUAGAGGAAGGAGAAGCCGUAACAAKGUUU
rnacentral:rRNA from 1 species